UACGGAGGGUGCAAGCGUUGUUCGGAAUCACUGGGCGUAAAGGGCGUGUAGGCGGCCCGCUAAGUCUGAUGUGAAAUCCCCUCGCUCAACGAGGGAACUGCGUCGGAAACUGGCGGACUCGAGUACCGGAGAGGAAGGUGGAAUUCCCGGUGUAGCGGUGAAAUGACGUAGAUAUCGGGAGGAACACCUGUGGCGAAGGCGGCCCCCUGGUUGGAUACUGACGCUGAUACGCGAAAGCGUGGGGAGCAAACAGG
rnacentral:rRNA from 1 species